AGAGUUUGAUCAUGGCUCAGGACGAACGCUGGCGGCGUGCUUCACACAUGCAAGUCGAACGGGGAUGCAGCAAAAGCUUGCUUUUAUUGCAUCCUAGUGGCGGACGGGUGAGUAACACGUGAGCAACCUGCCCGACAUACUGGGAUAACAGCGGGAAACCGUUGCUAAUACCGGAUACUCCAUUUUUGGCGCAUGUCAGGAAUGGGAAAGGGUUUACCGAUGUCGGAUGGGCUCGCGUCCCAUUAGCUGGUUGGUGAGGUAACGGCUCACCAAGGCUGCGAUGGGUAGCUGGUCUGAGAGGACGAUCAGCCACACUGGAACUGAGACACGGUCCAGACUCCUACGGGAGGCAGCAGUGGGGAAUAUUGCACAAUGGGCGAAAGCCUGAUGCAGCGACGCCGCGUGGAGGAUGAAGGCCUUCGGGUCGUAAACUCCUGUCUGGGGGGAUGAACACUGACAGUACCCCCGGAGGAAGCCCCGGCUAACUACGUGCCAGCAGCCGCGGUAAU
rnacentral:rRNA from 1 species